CCUACGGGUGACAGCAGUGGGGAAUAUUGGGCAAUGGGCGCAAGCCUGACCCAGCAACGCCGCGUGAAGGAAGAAGGCCUUCGGGUUGUAAACUUCUUUUAUGAGGGACGAAACAAAUGACGGUACCUCAUGAAUAAGCCACGGCUACCUACGGGGCAGCAGCCGCGGUAAUACGUAGGUGGCAAGCGUUAUCCGGAUUUAAGGGGUGUAAAGGGCGUGUAGGCGGGACUGCAAGUCAGAUGUGAAAAUUAUGGGCUCAACCCAUAGCCUGCAUUGGAAACUGUAGUACUUGAGUGAUGGAGAGGCAGGCGGAAUUCCAUGUGUAGCGGUGAAAUGCGUAGAUAUACGGAGGAACACCAGUGGCGAAGGCGGCAUGCUGGACAUUAACUGACGCUGAGGCGCGAAAGCGUGGGGAGCAAACAGGAUUAGAUACCCUAGUAGUC
rnacentral:rRNA from 1 species